rnacentral:rRNA from 1 species
UACGUAGGGUGCAGGCGUUAAUCGGAAUUACUGGGCGUAAAGCGUGCGCAGGCGGUUUGCUAAGACAGGUGUGAAAUCCCCGGGCUUAACCUGGGAACUGCGCUUGUAACUGGCAAGCUUGAGUGUGGCAGAGGGGGGUGGAAUUCCACGUGUAGCAGUGAAAUGCGUAGAGAUGUGGAGGAACACCGAUGGCGAAGGCAGCCCCCUGGGCCGACACUGACGCUCAGGCACGAAAGCGUGGGGAGCAAACAGG